rnacentral:lncRNA from 1 species
AUAGAUUGUAACUAAUAAGUCAUUCUCUUUUUGUGAAUAUUGAAAUAAAAUGUUGACAUGUUCAGAACAUUUCUAUCAUUUUUUCUAGGUAAAGGAUUUACAAAAACUGGCCUGUUCCUGGAAACAAUCCUGGCUUCAGCCAAUCAGGUUUUAGCAGGGAGUUGCAGACUCUCUUCCCUGGGUAUCAGAAGAAGCUCCUACUUUCCUGUGGUUUUUGAAGACCUUAGCAAUGAGAACCAUUGACUUUCAAUUAACUUGACACUCCCAGCAAAUUCAGGUAACUGUUUACAUACAGAGCAUGUUUGCAAGGGAAUUAUUCUGCACAGUGCAGUGAAAAUGCUUGUACCUUUCCACCUGGGAGAAGCAUCAGAAUAUGUUUCUGUGUCCUCAGGACAGAUUUGCUAUUCCAUCCGGACAACAAAUGUGAAUGUCCUUAUAGACAUUAAGGUACGUUUUGUUCAAUUUACUCUACAGAUCAUCCUUUGGACCCAAUUCUCAACUAGUGUUAAUUGAUGUAGCUCUGAAUUUAAUUAAACUUUGGAAGCUCCCACUGCCUGGGAAUCUGUCCUGUAGACUGCUUUUGGAAAAUGCUUAUACUCAGCUUGAUCUAUCCAUGAUUGCAAUUUAUGCUUUAAGUGAAGGUAAAUUGUGGCUAUUUGGUGAUUAAUACCUCACUCUCAUGCCAAGCCAAGCUAAGAUGUGCUGACUUAAUUUAUCACUAACCAGCAGUUGCUAU